AUCCCUUAGAAUGGACAAAUUCGAGUUGCUUUAGGGGUUCUUCCUUCACCAUGAGCCAUAGGAUUGCACCUCUGUUUUUGGAGCAUGGAGACCAACAACGGACGCACGCGACCUGACUUAGGCAUCUCCCCUGGUCCUGAAUGUUCUGGGUGCAUCUAUGUUGUAGGAGCAUGGAGACCCACCAUGCAGCCAUGAUCAUAAGCUUUGAAGUUGAAUCUAUGCAUUAAAAUCAUGAAGCGCAAU